UCUCUGUGCAUACCGGCUCUGAGAACCAUGUCUGAUCAGAGCUGGGUACUGCCUGUUCAGAACAGACACCGGUCUCUAAGACGCAGCCAAAUGGCC
rnacentral:pre_miRNA from 1 species